AGGAGGAUAGUUUAAAAAAAAACAUUUUCUUUGCAAGAAAAAAAAACUUUACUAGUUUCUCUUA
rnacentral:tRNA from 1 species